CUUGAGGCCCAAGUAGGAUGUGCGAGCACGCAUGCGUGAAUUUACCUACCUGCGGUAUAAGUAAGAGGAGGUCUCCAGGCAGAUCACACUAGACUAGCAACACCUGCGAAGUCCACUCCUGACACUCUUUUUCGAUCGAAGUGAUUUUCAUCUAGAUCGUUAGUGGACAAUACUUCUUAAGAUGUUGGAUACUUCACGUAAAUGGAUCCAUCUCGUGGUUACCUUCGCGAUGGUCCCAUGAAUCUGCUUUGCACAGGUACCUCCAGCCCCGCAAACUGCACCAUUAACCCAAUGUCUAACAUAACUAGUAUUAAGCAGAUGUCAGCAAGAUGUUGUAACGGUUCCUCUGG